UACGUAGGGUCCGAGCGUUGUCCGGAAUUACUGGGCGUAAAGAGCUCGUAGGUGGUUUGUCGCGUUGUUCGUGAAAACUCACAGCUCAACCGUGGGCGUGCGGGCGAUACGGGCAGACUAGAGUACUGCAGGGGAGACUGGAAUUCCUGGUGUAGCGGUGGAAUGCGCAGAUAUCAGGAGGAACACCGGUGGCGAAGGCGGGUCUCUGGGCAGUAACUGACGCUGAGGAGCGAAAGCGUGGGGAGCGAACAGG
rnacentral:rRNA from 1 species